AGCCACAACUUGAGAGUGGGGAUAAAACAUCUCUACAUAUAGAUUAUCCGAUGUUGUUUGAGCUUCGAAAUGACCUUGCAGAGAGGGUCUCUCACUAUGGGGUGUUAGAGUUCGUAGCAGAGGAAGGCAUGAUCUAUAUGCCUUAUUGGAUGAUGGAAAAUAUGCUCUUACAAGAGGGAGACUUUGUGCGUGUGAAGAAUGUGACUCUUCCGAAGGGGACAUAUGUUAAAUUGCAACCCCAUACUAAGGACUUUUUGGACAUUUCAAACCCAAAAGCUA